rnacentral:rRNA from 1 species
AAGUCGAACGGAGUAGCAAUACUUAGUGGCAGACGGGUGAGUAACAUGUGGGUAUCUUCCCUUUGGUGAGGAAUAACACGAGGAAACUUGUGCUAAUACCUCAUAAGUCUUUACGGAGAAAGCUUUAUGCGCCGAUGGAUGAGCCCGCACUUGAUUAGUUUGUUGGUGGGGUAAUGGCCUACCAAGACAGAGAUCAAUAGCUGAUCUGAGAGGAUGAUCAGCCACAUUGGGACUGAGACACGGCCCAAACUCCUACGGGAGGCAGCAGUAGGGAAUAUUGCACAAUGGAGGAAACUCUGAUGCAGCGAUGCCGCGUGAGUGAAGAAGGCCCUUGGGUUGUAAAGCUCUUUCGUCGGGGAAGAAAAUGACUGUACCCGAAUAAGAAGGUCCGGCUAACUUCGUGCCAGCAGCCGCGGUAAUACGAAGGGACCUAGCGUAGUUCGGAAUUACUGGGCUUAAAGAGUUCGUGGGUGGUUAAAAAAGUUGGUGGUGAAAUCCCAGAGCUUAACUCUGGAACUGCCAUCAAAACUUUUUAGCUAGAGUAUGAUAGAGGAAAGCAGAAUUUCUAGUGUAGAGGUGAAAUUCGUAGAUAUUAGAAAGAAUACCAAUUGCGAAGGCAGCUUUCUGGAUCAUUACUGACACUGAGGAACGAAAGCAUGGGUAGCGAAGAGGAUUAGAUACCCUCGUAGUCCAUGCCGUAAACGAUGUGUGUUAGACGUUGGAAAUUUAUUUUCAGUGUCGCAGCAAAAGCAGUAAACACACCGCCUGGGGAGUACGACCGCAAGGUUAAAACUCAAAUGAAUUGACGGGGACCCGCACAAGUAGUGGAGCAUGUGGUUUAAUUCGAAGAUACGCGCAGAACCUUACC